GCGCAACCCUUGUCCUUAGUUACCAGCACGUAAUGGUGGGCACUCUAAGGAGACUGCCGGUGACAAACCGGAGGAAGGUGGGGAUGACGUCAAGUCAUCAUGGCCCUUACGGCCUGGGCUACACACGUGCUACAAUGGUCGGUACAAAGGGUUGCCAAGCCGCGAGGUGGAGCUAAUCCCAUAAAACCGAUCGUAGUCCGGAUCGCAGUCUGCAACUCGACUGCGUGAAGUCGGAAUCGCUAGUAAUCGCGAAUCAGAAUGUCGCGGUGAAUACGUUCCCGGGCCUUGUACACACCGCCCGUCACACCAUGGGAGUGGGUUGCACCAGAAGUAGCUAGUCUAACCUUCGGGAGGACGGUUACCACGGUGUGAUUCAUGACUGGGGUGAAGUCGUAACAAGGUAGCCGUAGGGAA
rnacentral:rRNA from 2 species